rnacentral:rRNA from 1 species
CCUACGGGUGGCAGCAGUGAGGAAUAUUGGUCAAUGGUCGGGAGACUGAACCAGCCAAGCCGCGUGAGGGAUGAAGGUACAGAGUAUCGUAAACCUCUUUUGUCAGGGAACAAAGGCGGGGACGUGUCCCCGGAUGAGUGUACCCGAAGAAAAAGCAUCGGCUAACCCCGUGCCAGCAGCCGCGGUAAUACGGAGGAUGCGAGCGUUAUCCGGAUUUAUUGGGUUUAAAGGGUGCGCAGGCGGUCUGUUAAGUCCGCGGGAAAAGCCCGGGGCUCAACCCCGGCCCGCCGUUGAAACUGGCAGUCUCGAGUUGGAGAGAAGUAUGCGGAAUGCGCGGUGUAGCGGUGAAAUGCAUAGAUAUCACGCAGAACUCCGAUUGCGAAGGCAGCAUGCCGGCUCCACACUGACGCUGAGGCACGAAAGCGUGGGUAUCGAACAGGAUUAGAUACCCCAGUAGUC